AAUAUCCUCGGGUGAGGAUUACAAAAAUAAUAAUAAUAAUAACUCACCCCUUCCAUGGUGAUGGAAAACAAAUAAAAGAUAAAAAAGGAAAUCGCAGCCAGCCUUCCCUAUAAAUAUCUCUUUGGGAAAAUCCACCGUGGGCCGAUGAGUCUAUUUCAGGACCUAAAGUCCAGUGCAGUCGGGGCUGAGGUUAGGUCCCAGCUCCAUCUCCUAACUCGCUGGGUAACCUUGGGCAAGUUAUUCAACAUCUCUGGGCCUCAGUCUCCUCAUCUGUAAAAUGGGGAUAAUGACACGCCCUACUGCUAGUGGCUGUGAAGGCGAAAGGAGACCAAGAAUCCAGCACUGAGCGCAGCGCCUUCUUGUUAUAAGUGUUACUGUUCAGUGGGUGUGGUGCGAGCUGAAAAUGCUAACAAGGACCCACGUCAGACAUGAGUUGGACUCCGUUCUCCUGGCAAAGAUAACCCACAGUCCAGACAACUCGUUCUGGCUGCGACGUUAAUUAUUACUCCCACUCCUGCCCCCUGGCACCACGGAGGCCCAGCAGCUCCUCCUCCCCAGCGGCUCAGGUCUCGGUAAAUACGUUUCAGAGACCGAAUGAGGCUGUGACUAAUUGAGUCCUGGCCUAAAAAAAAAAAAUGAACCACAUGCUUUGCACACGUGGCACAGAAUCGGCCGGCUCCCCUGAUGUGGCCGAAGGCUCUGUGCAGCCGCCUCCCCAGCAGGAACCCGGUCGGGGAGCGGGCAAGGCCCAGCCCUGGGGUCUCCGGGAGGAAGUGGUCUGUUCCGAAACGGGGACCACCCUCCCCGCAGCGCAGCCCGAGCCCCGGGGGACAUUUACUCGGACCGUGGCGCCAUCACCUCCGCGCGCCCGGCUGAUACUCACUCCAACCGGAUAGAGGUGUCCGGGGAAGACUUGUCAAAGAGCCAGCGGAAGAAAACGUCGAGGCUGAAAGACAAACGGAUCCCCUCAGAACCGACCCCCAACGCGCCACGUGACCACAACACAGACGUCCUUUCCCUCUUCUUCUAAAAACAGGCCGCACCUCCAGAUCCACGUUCAUCCUUUCAAAUGCCGCUGGCUGCCGUGCGACACACCAGGGCCUACUGCAACAGAACCGUCCUUCCCGGAGAGAAACCACGCCAGGACCCGCCCCGCCCCCUAAGUGGACAGUUGCCGUCGUGAUAAAUUUGUUUUCAAACGUAGAGAGGUCCGAUCUCCGGGAGACUCAAUGGGCAGCACAACUGCCCUCCAGGUUCCAUUCUCCUGGGGACAGUACUCUCCAGCUACGACCCUGAUUCUGAAUUGAGAGCAGGAGGCGGCCACGCGUACCUGGUGAGGCCGAGGGAGGGCAGAAUCAGCACCAUGAAGAUCAGGAAUAUGUAGACCUUGGUCAUCAUGAUCCGGUUUUCCCCAGACCUGCAGGAAGUCAGAGAGUGAAGCCAGCAAUUUCACAUAUAAUUCAAGGACAAGAUUAUUAAAACCUGAAAUGUACAAGAAACCACCCACGGUGCUGCCACCCGACCCAAGCAGCUCUUCUCCGCGUGCACCCGCGUCCCUGGCGCGUCGCUGUAGCCACUGCUCGCAGACAGUUUACAUCCUGCUCUCGUCACAAGCCCCCAGUGCCCGCCACCAAGUCUAUGCAAUUUUUUUUUUAAAUUUGGGACUUUAUCCACUGAGAAGUGGUUGUGUGUUUUUCAAUAUACUUUAUUGAUUUUUUACAGAGAGGAAGA